AUGUCAGAUAGCUUCUAUUUGUGCCUCUGGAUUCAUUCUCUACUCUUAUCUUCUUGCUGUCUGUUCCAGGAAGCUGAGACCUGUGUGAACUAUAGCAAUCCAUUCCCUUGUUUGAUGAGGUUGGGCCAACUGGGAGCCCUGGCAAGAAAGCAAGGUUUUGGGGUACAUGAGCAGAGCAUGCAAGACAGUUGCGUAGGUACACACAUGGCAGUGUGCUUUGCUUUUCUUCUCCCCUUCACCCACAUUUGGCAUUUCUCCCCAGGCUAUCCCUCCCCACCUCCCCCUCCCACUGGCCCUCCCCUUUUCCCCCCAAUAGACCCCAGUGUUUAGUACUCCCCUUUCUGUGUCCAUGUGUUCUCAUUUUUCAUCACCCACCUAUGAGUGAGAAUAUGCGGUGUUUCAUUUUCUGUUCUUGUGUCAGUUUGCUGAGGAUGAUGUUUUCCAGAUUCAUCCAUGUCCCUACAAACGACACGAACUCAUCAUUUCUGAUUGCUGCAUAAUAUUCCAUGGUGUAUAUGUGCCACAUUUUUCCAAUCCAGUCUAUUAUCAAUGGGCAUUUGGGUUGAUUCCAGGUCUUUGCUAUUGUAAACAGUGCUGCAAUGAACAUUCGUGUACAUGUGUCCUUAUAGUAGAACGAUUUAUAGUCUUUUGGAUAUAUACCCAGUAAUGGGAUUGCUGGGUCAAAUGGAAUUUCUAUUUCUAAGGCCUUGAGGAAUCGCCACACUGUCUUCCACAAUGGUUGAACUAAUUUACACUCCCACCAACAGUGUAAAAGUGUUCCUUUUUCUCCACAUCCUCUCCAGCAUCUGUUGUCUCCAGAUUUUUUAAUGAUCGCCAUUCUAACUGGCGUGAGAUGGUAUCUCAAUGUGGUUUUGAUUUGCAUCUCUCUGGUUUCUCUUCAGAUCGUAUAAAUCUUUCGCCUUUUUGUAGUUUUUUGAGGGACCUCCCUACUGUUCUCCAUAGUGGCUAUACUAGUUUGCAUUCUCACCAACAGUAUAUAAGAGUUCCCUUUUCUCUGUAUCUUCCUCUGCAUUUGUUAAUUUUUGUCUUUUUGAUGUUAGCUAUUCUAACUGGGAUGAGAUGAUAUCUUAUUGUGGUUUUGAUUAGCAUUUCCCUGAUGAUUAGUUAUGUUGAGCAUUUUCCAUUUUUGUGCCUUCUUUCGAGAAAUGUCUAUUCAGAUAAUUUGCCCAUUUUAAAUCAGAUUGUCAUUAUUACUAUUUUUGCUAUUGAGAUGUUUCAGUUCCUUGUGUAUUCUGGAUACUAUUCCCUUGUUGGAUAAGCAGAUUGCAAAUAUUUAAUCCUGUUCUAUAGGUUGUCAUUUUACCUGUUG
rnacentral:lncRNA from 13 species